rnacentral:rRNA from 1 species
UACGAAGGGGGCUAGCGUUGCUCGGAAUUACUGGGCGUAAAGCGCACGUAGGCGGCUUUCUAAGUCGGGGGUGAAAUCCUGGAGCUCAACUCCAGAACUGCCUUCGAUACUGGAAAGCUCGAGUCCGGGAGAGGUGAGUGGAACUGCGAGUGUAGAGGUGAAAUUCGUAGAUAUUCGCAAGAACACCAGUGGCGAAGGCGGCUCACUGGCCCGGAACUGACGCUGAGGUGCGAAAGCGUGGGGAGCAAACAGG